rnacentral:lncRNA from 1 species
AAUUUGGGUAAUUUGUACUGCAGGAUACCUUACGCCCAUGUGACAGUUAUUGUGCCCAGUGAUUUUCAGAAUUUUGUAGAAAAUUCAGUUAAGAUCUUCAAAUAAUUUGAUUACAAAUUUCCUUGCUUCAGGCUGAGCCAUGCUUAAUUUUGUUUCACUGUAAGUUGCAUUUACUUUUGUGCAUGUUGUAAAGGAAGAGACCCAAAGAUAUUGCUGCCGUAUGUUCAUGUGCUGUAGGAAACAGAGAUGCAAAAACAACCGUUGUUAAUCAAGGCUGUUAAAAGAGAAUGUAAAUAGCAUUUCAGGGUGCAGAAAUCAUAACUUUUCUGAAAAUUAAAUAGAACAAAAUAGGUACUUAAUGGUACGGUUAGCCACAAGCUGUGCAAGAAUGAACACUCCCCUUUCUUUUAAAUUGUGAGAAACAGCUAGCGGCCAAAUGCAGAGAUUCUUCGUCAAACCUGAUUUUGCAGCCCUUGGGCACACAAGUAAUAUUAAUUUACGCAGUUCAUAGAGUUCAUUGUGACUCCUCAUCAAGGCAAGGAUUGCAGCCAGAUUUCUUGGCUCCCACUGAGAGAGCCUUGUGAUUGUGAUUCUCACAUUGUUAUGAUUUUAUUCUAACACUGCAUGUGUGUAUUGGGUCCUCAUAUAUGUGCCUUCACUAAAUGUGUGGAAGGUGGAAGACUGCAUGCUGUCCUGGCACCUGUGCUUUGAGCAGGAUGUGUAAAAAGGAACAUGUACAAUUGUAUGCAUGUAGUUGCUUGCAUGCGAAUAGGAUCCUUAUGUGAAGGCAGUCCUUCAGUUACUCAGCAAUUUCCUUUCCUGUGCUAGCCUUAGCAAUCCCUUCAGUUCCGUUGGGAAACUUCAGAAUACAUGCUCAGGUCACGCUGUCAGCAGUGGUUCAGGACCUCAGUGGCAACAGUGGGUCUGUCCCAUUUGGUUUAUGGGUCCACUGAUUCAGCAGAGUACCGUUAAUGUGGCUUCUGUGCUGGCUGGAUCUGGGUGUGAAGUAACAUCCUGAAGUUCUGUUACCUGUUAGGGUUUUGACUUAGACUGGGGCCCUGAGCUUUUGCAGGUCCAUGGAAGCUAUAAAAAUGGUCUAACAGAGGAGGCUAAUGGAUCUGAAUGCUUUCCUGAUUGCUCUUAGGGAUUUUUCGUGUCUCUCAGCAGGCAAUUCUAGUCGAGCUCUAGAAUAAGAAAAAUGUCUUGAGUGGUAGACAUGAUUACUCCUGUGUAUCCUUUCUGAGUAAGUACAGUCAUACCUCGGGUUACAGACGCUUCAGGUUGCACGUUUUCAGCUUGCGCACUGCGCUGAACCCAGAAGUACUGGAAUGGGUUACUUCCGGGUUUUGGCGCAUGCGCAGAAGCGCUAAAUUGCACUUUGUGCAUGCGCAGAAGCGCGACCUGCGUGUGCGCAGACUCGGCGCUGCGGGUUGCAAAUGCUGCGGGUUGCAAACAUGCCUCCCGCACGGAUCACGUUCGCGACCCGAGCAUCCACUGUAGUCAGUGAACUAUCUAUGUCUGAAACUGGAUAGGGGGAGUACAAAUUUGGGGUUUGUUUCGGCUGGCAGUAGAGUAUUUGUUAAGCAGUAAUCAAGUGUGAGCCUGAUCCUAUGCUCAGAAGACAAUAACUGAAUUCAGUAAACUUUACUCCCAGGUAAAGUGUAUAUAAGACUGCAGUCUUGGAGUAUGGAGAACAGUCUUUUUCGUUUUGUUUUGUUUUCAGGAAAGCUGGACGUUAAGUUUUCUAACUGAAAUAUAGGAAUUUCCCCCUCUCCCCUUUAAGCAGAUACCUUUAUAAUAGAAACAUGAGAUUUUCUGAAAUACCUACAUGAAGAAAUUUACAUACCAAGCCAUAUCUUGUUUUAGCAUGAAUUUUGCUUAAAAUAGUCUUUCCAAACUCUGUGCAGACAGUUUCAGUAAUUUAGCUUGGAAAACUUUGAACUCCACCUUUCGAAGCUUGUGCCACAAAAAAGUUUGUCUUUAAGAUGUUCUAGGGCUAUGGCUACUUGUUCCUUAAAAAGCUGACAUUCUUCAGGGGUUUUUUUUGGUAACAAAAUUUAAUAGGCAGGGAAUUGAACAGGCGUUUUGCUGUGCAAAAGUCAUACUUCCUCACACUAGUUUUGUUUUUGUUUUGCACUAGAAAAUAUAAUAGUUGUACAAUCGAGCUUUUUAUUUAAAGUAUGAAUUUGGAGUGUGUGUGUGUGUGUGUGUGGAGAUUGGCCUUUAAAAUUUCAAAGUAAAAAAUGUUGCCUUUCCCUUGGCACAGAUACACAUACAUACACUCACACACCCCUACAGAUAGAAGUAGAAUUGUAGGCUUUACAAGGGUGCAUUUGGGUUACUUUGGCACAGAAUGGAUUACAUAAAGCCAUGACCAUAGAUUGUGCUUUCUGUUCUUUAAAUUAGUUGCUUUUCUUACUCCAGCCUGUCGUCUUAUCAAGCCCUAUCUUUCUUUUCACCUUUGUCCUGCAUGUCUAUUACGUGCCUGCCUGCCAGGCUGAGAUGGUGUCUUUAUACCAUGCCUGGUAUAGUGCACUGUUGGUGUUAAUUAGCAGUAAUAAUCUCAGCCACCACCUCAGCACUGAAGUUUAAAGAAGUGAGUAAAGUGGUUUAUCUCACUUUGGGUAAUUGAAAGUUGUUUCACUUUUGUCGCUAUAUGUAAUUGCCAUGGGUAAGACACCCUUUUGAUAUCUGGCGAUGUGUCACAUAGCUAGCAGAUUCUCUCCCACUUUGUUCUAAGCUAGCUAGUAAUUUUGAGAGAGCCCCUGUGUGGUUCCCUGGAUAUAAGCGAACUCACAGAAGGAAUAUUAUACAGGCAAGCAUCUUCAUGAAAGUAAAGCCAGGCAACCAGCCCAGCUUGGUAGUGGCGGGUUCAGAUUUCAAAGCAGCUGCCAUGACCUUGACUGUGCACAGACAAGCUAUGUGUGGUACUAAGGAACUGCAAGGUCCUCUGGAUGCUUGCUGCCUUGCUGUGGUUAUUAGGGGUUUUUAUUAUUGGUCUAGCAGUUCAUAGCAGCCACUCUCCCCCCCGUCCUUAUAUGAAAGUGUUUUAAACAAGAGACAUAAGAGACUGAGAUACAAAGAAACCUUUUGAAGUUGAAAGUGGGUCUGCAUGAAAAUGAACCGCUCGUCUGUGAAAGGAGUCAAGUGUGAAAGAAUAGGAUAGUUUCACUAAAUGAUUCUGAUAGUCUGAAUAAGACACUAUAGCGAGGCAGAGACGAGAAUUUGGUAAAGGUCAGAGCUGAUCACAUGAUCUGAAGCAAGGCAGUGGAAGUACAUGAAAGGAAUUGAGUGGAAUGUUUAUGUUUUUCUCCGCAGCCUUUAUUUUUGUCAAAAGGAACUCCAGAAAAGGUAGUAAAAAGAAGCUGGGAAUCUGAUUCCUUUGGGAUCUUGUCCCCCUUUCAUUCAGCCCUUCUCUAGUCUCAAACCUUUUAAGAUCAAAGAGAGACAGUUCUUCAUUACAUGCAACAUCUCAUUAGAAAGACAAUUCUAAAACUGCGCACUUCAUUUGGCCAACACUCUUGUGCACAUUUUCCUCCAAAUUACCAUUUUAAAAUAUUCUAAGUAGAGUAGCUCUUGUUAGUGUUUCUUUUUUAAUACUUUAGUAAUCAACAUAAUUUGCAGGUUCACACACUAUAAAUCUGAAUUACUUAGAACAGAAGUAAUUUGAGUUGUGAUGUGUCUUUUGAAUACCAAAUACCGCUGUGACAACCAGCAUCUAGGACUGAGAUAUUUGCAUAAUACUGCUUUGGCCCAUUUUUUGAUUAGCGCAACUGAGAUCAGCUACUGUGUGCUCUUUAUCUCAAUUGAGAUAUUGUCUGUUGUGUCACAACUGGCAUCUUCAUCAUUAAAUCCACUUCUAUUGAUCAUCUUUUCUUACCUCUACAGGAGGUAAACAGCAAAUGUUGAUGAACAUCCAAAAUAUACCUUUUGGAUUGGUCCAAGAUAGUACAGUGCUACGUCAGGUUACAAACACCUCGGGUUACAAACAUUUUGGGUUACAGACUCUGCUAACCUAGAAGUAGUACCUUGGGUUAAGAACUUUACCUCAGGAUGAGAACAGAAAUCGUGUGCCGGUGGCGCAGCGGCAGCAGGAGACCCCAUUAGCUAAAGUGGUACCUCAGGUUAAGAACGGUUUCAGGUUAAGAACGGACCUCUGGAACGAAUUAAGUUCAUAAUCAGAGGUACCACUGUGACUCUGUCACAGUUUAAUGUCUCUAUAAACCUAGGGUGGGCAGCUUUCUGCCGUAAAUGGCCUGCCAGUUUUUUAAGAAAUUAAAUCCAGCGCAACUGUUGCCAACAAGUAUGCACCAUUUUGCACCACUUGAAGCAGGUACCUCCACUGGUUUUCUUGUUGUUAAUUGCUUUGCUGUUGCUGACAAGGUGACAGCACCACCUUUGCCUUGGUCUCCAGCUCUCGUUCACCUCUGUCUUGCUCUGAGCAAGCGCUGGGAAUCAAAGAUAGAGAUGGACUUGGAGAAUGAGGCACAGCCAGUCCACUGUGUUAGCAGCUAGGUUUCCCAUCAACGGAUCACAGCUUGUCUUUGUUGUGCCCACUCCUGCUUAUAAGCAUUUAACAUUUAUUUCUCUCAAGAGUAUGGUGGCUAUAAUUUUUUAGCCACCAAAGUUAGGUGAAGGAGCACAGCUCCUAAGGAAAUCAGUGAAGCAUAUGAGCAAUUCAAAAAAGGUUAUGCUGCAUAUAGACAAGUAUUGAUUGCCAGGAGUUUAUGCAAAACUGGGAGAAGCGUAAGUGAGUUAGGAAAGUCACGUUCUUCCCAAGAGGCUGUAGAAAAGAGGGGGUGGGAACCGUGUUCCCUGUUUAGUUGUACAUGGAGUACUGCUUAUUUUAAAUUAGGUGUUAUAAUAUUUUUGCGAUCAACUUGGGCCCACUGCUAAGGUGAUACCUUUUUUGCCAUUGAUUAUAAUAGGGGUUUUUAAACAGCCUGGAUGUUGGAUAGUAAAAUGACCAGAUGCUGAAAUAUUAGAGGGAGAGUUAGAACUAAUCACUAACCCUCUUUGUUCCAUUAUUGGCCCUCAGUUCCCAACCCCAUGACCUUCUUGAUGGGAAAGAACAAGAAAACUAGGCAAAUAGCUGAGUCAGAAGGAAUUAAGUCUGUCUUUCUGGAUGGAGGGAGAGGAAGGAAUACUUCACUCUUUCUGACAUGAACACUGUUCAGUGUUGCAUAGUAGUGUUCAUUGUAAUUUACAAAAAGGCUGGCAGCUGCUGUACUACAUACUGAUUCAAGAGCUAAUCAAGCCUAGUUUUCUUCAUUGUCUCACCCCUUGCGAAGUGUGUGUGUGUGUGUGUGUGUGUGUGCGCAUUUCCAAUCUAUGUCAUAGCACUUUGAUAUCCACUUUCUUCUCAGUCUCUGAACAGGAAGUCUACGAAUUGACAUAGCUGCUAUAGCACUGUAUAUGACUUAUUUGCAUAAUUCUCUAGUUUGUAUUAUAUGUUUAGGCCCAGUUAAAGCAUAAUGCGAAACCCAUUAUUUGCUUUAAUGUCUGAAUCCGAACUUGUUCCAAAAACUGUGCUUUUGAAGCCUGACUAUUCAUGAUUUGAGAUCACUGUUUGAAGGUGGUUUGUUAAAUAUGUUGCACUGUUUUAUUUUGUUCCUCAUGUUCCCCUCUUCCUGUAAAUUUGUCAGUGAACUAAUAUUGUGAAUAUUUCCUCACAAUGUAGGUUAAAUGGAUUUCAGUUAUUUACUCUGCCCUGGCUUCCUUGGAGGAAGGGUUGGAUAAAAAUGUAAUAAAUACAAUAGAGCAUAGGAAAGAAAUGAGUAACUAAUGAAACAAAAUUUGUUUUUAUGAAGAUUUCCACUGGAUGCCUUAUUUGAAAUGCUUCUUUUUUCAUUGUACCCAAAUGUUUAGAACCAUUUCUUUUAAAUUGCAAGGUGACCCUGUAUGUUCUUAAGAAUACUUCACUUUUCUAUCCCACACCACUGCUUGCCUUUCUUUUUAGUUCUAUGCAACCCUUUUAUUUUAACCACUAUUGUAAACCAAGGAAAGAACUAUGGUCAUUUACUGCUUCAUUUCCAUACAAAAUAGCAUUUCAAUAAGCAGGCUGCCACAGCAUGAUUCAAAACUGCAUUGGUUCUUCAAAUACCUGCAAACUGUAUGUUGCAGGCAACUAUAUAAACUGAUCUUUCCUAUUCUAUUAUUUUUCAUUUAAAUUCUUCCAAGGGCAUUUCUUGAUUCUUGGUUUUUUCAGUGGGAUUGAAAUGCUGUCCAUAUCAAUAAAUUGGCCCAGUGGUAGAUCCGUCCAUAAUUUAUGAUAAAGUAAUACUUAAGUCUUUUGAAACAUUUAUGCUGUGCUACUCUGUAAUCUGCCUCUGUUGUAAAAAUAUACAAAUUGCAACUUCAUCUACUAACUUGACAAACGCUCUUCUCUCAGGAUCCCAAGUACUAUGUACUGUUGUAUAAAGAGACAUUAGUGUGGUGAUUACUUUUUUCCUUCUGGUAAGAAGGCUCCUGCCUAAUAUGACAUGUAAUAUAUCUAGUCUCCAUUCCCAAGUUGUGAGUUCUCAAGUGUUCCUGAGCUGGGGCAAUCUCUCAUUGUAAGCUGGCUUCUGUGCAGUUGUUGUGGGAAGGGAAAGGGGGUUUCCUCAGUUGCACUACUGAACCUUUGAUGUUGUAAGAAGCAGGGUGAGGACCUCCUCCAAAGGUCAGUGUGAUAGGAGAGCUCCUCACUCCCAAUUUUUCUGCAUUUACACAAAAUAUGACUGGCUCGUGAGCGGUGGAAUUGGUGGACCCCUGAGGAUGAUCUGAAUGGCUUGUCACACAAGGAGGAUUUGGAUGUAUGCAUUAUUUACUUACUUGCUUGCUCCAUUUAUAUCCCCGUAUUCCUGCAAUAAUACAGUAUAAAGGUGGUGCACGUGGUUCUUCCCUCUCCUUUUAUAAUGACAGCAAUACUGUGAGGUAGGUUAGGCUAAGAGAUAGUGACUGGCCCAAGCUUUGUGGCUGUUUGAGGGUUUGAAUCCUGAUCUCUAGGUCCUAGUCCGACACACUAAUCACUACACCAUAUUGGCUGAAGUAGACUCCUGUCUGGAGCCUGUUACAACUACAAGAAGUAAGUUUGCAUUGUAUCACUAGAGGCUGCUGCCCCUGUUAACAUUGCUCGCCAACACUGCCUACCUGCCAAACUCCCAACCUGCUGCCAGCCCCUUCUGUCCCUUAGUUUGCCCCCAAACCCAUCUUCUCACAACUUAUUCCAAACCCCCGCAUUACCCUGCUGCUGCAUUAUAAAAUGCAGGCUUCCUUUUCUCACUGUUUGGUGUGGGGGGGGGGGAGAUGCUGGUGGACAAAGGGGCAAAGACUUUCUCCCCUUCAUGGCUUCCUUCUCUCAUCUUUAUUGUCAGUGGUGGGUGGGUCUGUCUUCUCUUCAUUCUCUUGGUAGCAAUGACAUGGGGAGCAUGGGAGGACCAGCCUGGGCCAGCCUCCUGCAUGCUCACUCCACUUCAACAAGCACACUCAGUUGUCAGCAUGGCGAUGGAUGGCUGCAAAUAUGGAGAGAUGUCUAAGGCCUUAUUUACACAAAUGAGUUUCAUCUCUACAUGACUGUUGAUAAAAUUUAGUGUUUAGGGACAGCUAUAGUCAUUACUGUGACCAGUGGCUUGAAAAAAGGCACCCAUGAUGAGAGAAACACAACUUGUUUACACCCGAAUCAUAUACUGGGUAUAUGAUGGUGUAGUGUUCGACCCAUGGAAAAACUUCCAGUCUGCUGAGCUAUGUAGCAUAUGAAGGUCCUGUCUUCUCCUCCUUAGCAAAUAAAUACUGUUAAAUAAAAAAGUUAAUUGACUUGUAAGCAAGAAAUCUGUGUACUAUUUAAUCUUUGAGGAAUUACCCAAUUAACAUGUUCCCAAAAGUCUGCCCUAAUGUAUUGCUCAGCUAGCAAUAUUUUUAGCAAACUCGGUCUCCAAGGCAUUGCAUCCAAAUCUUUCUCUUUAGUAAUUCUUUCAGCAAAACCUUGCUUGGUUCAAUGCAAUUAAAAUAAUUCACAGCACUGUUCUAGGCUCUUGCUCACAGGUUCCUGCUUUUUUUCUCAUGAGGCGGAAUUUAGCUUUGAAUCUGCUUAUGUAACAUUGAGGGACAUAGACAGUGGGGUCUCUAACACAUUUAUUAUUUAUUAACAGCAGUUGUAUGCUGCCCAUAACAUAAAAGUUCUUGGAGCAUGGUGCAAUAAAUAAGUAUAAAGACACUUUAAAUACAAGAUAAAACAAAAUCAUAAAAUAGGAAUACGAAUACAGAGAAGAAAACAAAACUCAUCACAACUCCGAAAUAAAAACACACUUAU